rnacentral:rRNA from 1 species
UACGUAGGGUGCAGGCGUUAAUCGGAAUUACUGGGCGUAAAGCGUGCGCAGGCGGUUUGCUAAGACAGGUGUGAAAUCCCCGGGCUUAACCUGGGAACUGCGCUUGUAACUGGCAAGCUAGAGUGUGGCAGAGGGGGGUGGAAUUCCACGUGUAGCAGUGAAAUGCGUAGAGAUGUGGAGGAACACCGAUGGCGAAGGCAAUCCCCUGGACCUGUACUGACGCUCAUGCACGAAAGCGUGGGGAGCAAACAGG